rnacentral:rRNA from 1 species
UAGGAGCACCUUCGUGGUGUGACUGCGUACCUUUUGUAUAAUGGGUCAGCGACUCUAUAUUCAGUGGCAAGGUUAACAUCUAGGGGAGCCGUAGGGAACCGAGUCUUAACUGGGCGUUCCAGUCUCUGGAUAUAGACCCGAAACCAGGGUGAUCUAGCCAUGGGCAGGUUGGAAGGUUGAGUAACAUCAACUGGAGGACCGAACCGACUAAUGUUGAAAAAUUAGCGGAUGACUUGUGGCUAGGUGAAAGGCCAAUCAAACCUGGAGAUAGCUGGUUCUCCCCGAAAGCUAUUUAGGUAGUGCCUCGGACGAAUACUACUGGGGUAGAGCACUGUUAAGGCUAGGGGGUCAUCCCGACUUACCAACCCUUUGCAAACUCCGAAUACCAGUAAGUACUAUCCGGGAGACACACGGCGGGUGCUAACGUCCGUCGUGGAGAGGGAAACAACCCAGACCGCCAGCUAAGGUCCCAAAUUACUACUAAGUGGGAAACGAUGUGGGAAGGCUCAGACAGCCAGGAUGUUGGCUUAGAAGCAGCCAUCAUUUAAAGAAAGCGUAAUAGCUCACUGGUCGAGUCGGCCUGCGCGGAAGAUGUAACGGGGCUAAGUAGUAAACCGAAGCUGCGGCAAUAUACUUUUGUAUAUUGGGUAGGGGAGCGUUCUGUAAGCGGUUGAAGGUGUGUGGUAACGCAUGCUGGACGUAUCAGAAGUGCGAAUGCUGACAUGAGUAACGAUAAAGGGGGUGAAAAACCCCCUCGCCGGAAGACCAAGGGUUCCUGUCCAACGUUAAUCGGGCAGGGUAAGUCGACCCCUAAGGCGAGGCCGAAAGGCGUAGUCGAUGGGAAACGGGUUAAUAUUCCCGUACUUCUUACAAUUGCGAUGGGGGGACGGAGAAGGCUAGGUGGGCCUGGCGACGGUUGUCCAGGUUCAAGUGCGUAGGCUUAAGAGUUAGGUAAAUCCGGCUCUUUUUAAGGCUGAGACACGACGUCGAGCACCUACGGGUGUGAAGUCAUUGAUGCCAUGCUUCCAGGAAAAGCCUCUAAGCUUCAGAUUGUAAGGAAUCGUACCCCAAACCGACACAGGUGGUCGGGUAGAGAAUACCAAGGCGCUUGAGAGAACUCGGGUGAAGGAACUAGGCAAAAUGGUACCGUAACUUCGGGAGAAGGUACGCUCUCGACGGUGAAGUCCCUUGCGGAUGGAGCUAUUGAGAGUCGCAGAUACCAGGUGGUUGCAACUGUUUAUUAAAAACACAGCACUGUGCAAAAUCGUAAGAUGACGUAUACGGUGUGACGCCUGCCCGGUGCCGGAAGGUUAAUUGAUGGGGUUAGACUUCGGUCGAAGCUCUUGAUCGAAGCCCCGGUAAACGGCGGCCGUAACUAUAACGGUCCUAAGGUAGCGAAAUUCCUUGUCGGGUAAGUUCCGACCUGCACGAAUGGCGUAAUGAUGGCCACGCUGUCUCCACCCGAGACUCAGUGAAAUUGAAAUCGCUGUGAAGAUGCAGUGUACCCGCGGCUAGACGGAAAGACCCCGUGAACCUUUACUACAGCUUGGCACUGAACAUUGACCCUACAUGUGUAGGAUAGGUGGGAGGCUUUGAAGCACGUACGCCAGUAUGUGUGGAGCCGUCCUUGAAAUACCACCCUUGUAGUGUUGAUGUUCUAACGUCGACCCCUUAUCGGGGUUGCGGACAGUGCCUGGUGGGUAGUUUGACUGGGGCGGUCUCCUCCCAAAGAGUAACGGAGGAGCACGAAGGUGGGCUAAUCACGGUUGGACAUCGUGAGGUUAGUGCAAUGGCAUAAGCCCGCUUGACUGCGAGAAUGACAAUUCGAGCAGGUGCGAAAGCAGGUCAUAGUGAUCCGGUGGUUCUGAAUGGAAGGGCCAUCGCUCAACGGAUAAAAGGUACUCCGGGGAUAACAGGCUGAUACCGCCCAAGAGUUCAUAUCGACGGCGGUGUUUGGCACCUCGAUGUCGGCUCAUCACAUCCUGGGGCUGAAGUCGGUCCCAAGGGUAUGGCUGUUCGCCAUUUAAAGUGGUACGCGAGCUGGGUUUAGAACGUCGUGAGACAGUUCGGUCCCUAUCUGCCGUGGGCGUUGGAAGAUUGAAGGGGGCUGCUCCUAGUACGAGAGGACCGGAGUGGACGAACCUCUGGUGUUCGGGUUGUGUCGCCAGACGCAUUGCCCGGUAGCUAAGUUCGGAAUCGAUAACCGCUGAAAGCAUCUAAGCGGGAAGCGAGCCCUGAGAUGAGUCUUCCCUGAUACUUUAAGUAUCCUAAAGGGUUGUCGGAGACUACGACGUUGAUAGGUCAGGUGUGUAAGUGCUGUGAGGCAUUGAGCUAACUGAUACUAAUUGCCCGUGAGGCUUAACCAUACAACACCCAAGGGGUUU